rnacentral:rRNA from 1 species
GAUGAACGCUAGCGGCAGGCUUAAUACAUGCAAGUCAAGGGGGUAGCAAUACUACCGGCGCACGGGUGAGUAACACGUACAUAACAUACCAUAUACUGGGGUAUAGCUUUGGGAAACUGAAGGUAAUCCCCCAUAACAUUGCGAGAGGGCAUCUGAUUGCAAUUAAAGUUUCGACGGUAUAUGAUUGAUGCGCGUUUGAUUAGCUUGUUGGUAGGGUAACGGCCUACCAAGGCGACGAUCAAUAGCUGGCGUGAGAGCGCGACCAGCCACACUGGAACUGAGACACGGUCCAGACUCCUACGGGAGGCAGCAGUAGGGAAUAUUGGACAAUGGGCGAAAGCCUGAUCCAGCCAUGCCGCGUGCAGGAAGAAGGCCCUAUGGGUCGUAAACUAGCUUUUACUACCGGAGAAACCUUACCCUCGUGAGGGGAGCUGAUAGUAUGGUGAGAAUAAGCAUCGGCUAACUUCGUGCCAGCAGCCGCGGUAAAGU